rnacentral:rRNA from 1 species
AACGAACGCUGGCGGCAUGCCUAACACAUGCAAGUCGAACGAGAUCUUCGGGUCUAGUGGCGCACGGGUGCGUAACGCGUGGGAAUCUGCCCUUUGGUUCGAAAUAACAGUUGGAAACGACUGCUAAUACCGGAUGAUGACGAAGGUCCAAAGAUUUAUCGCCAGAGGAUGAGCCCGCGUAGGAUUAGCUAGUUGGUGUGGUAAAGGCGCACCAAGGCGACGAUCCUUAGCUGGUCUGAGAGGAUGAUCAGCCACACUGGGACUGAGACACGGCCCAGACUCCUACGGGAGGCAGCAGUGGGGAAUAUUGGACAAUGGGCGAAAGCCUGAUCCAGCAAUGCCGCGUGAGUGAUGGAGGCCUUAGGGUUGUAAAGCUCUUUUACCCGGGAUGAUAAUGACAGUACCGGGAGAAUAAGCUCCGGCUAACUCCGUGCCAGCCGCCGCGGUAA